rnacentral:tRNA from 1 species
GCGAAAGUGGCGAAAUGGCAGACGCGCGGCGCUUAGGACGCCGUCCCGAAAGGGGUGGGGGUUCGAGUCCCCCCUUUCGCACCA